GAGAAGUAGUUACAUAAAUUGGUAGUUAUACAGUAUAUACAUACAGUGAUAGUUUGUUUACGGUGGUUGUUUACAGAGUUCUUGUUUACAGAGUUCUUGUUACGGUUGAGGGUGGGCGGGGUUUCGCGUCCGCACGCUUUGAAGGGCGGUCCGGGAAUGAGCCCCGGAUUGUCCCGCCUGCCUGUAGCUAAUUAAGCUGACCCUGGUGGGUCCGUGUGUGGUCGGGUCAGCAACUUCUUUGAUCAAAACACAAAUAAACAAUCCCUUUAUUAUAACC